GUAAGCUCUACACCCAAUGUGGGGUCUGUACUCAGAACCCUCAGAUCAAGAAUUACAUCUACGGACUGAGCCAGGCAGUACGGUGAAGAUGUGCCUAGAACAGUGGCAGCUUUCUUGUCACCAUGAGGAGAUUCAGCAAAGAUUGUACUAGUCGGAGUCUUGAGGAAAAGGAUAUGAAAAACAAAACAAAACAAAACCUGGAUCUUUAAUGAUGUUGGUGAGCUCCUAAAUGAACCCAUCUUGGACCCACCUCAGGACUUUUUAUUUGGCGAGAUUGACUGCACAUAUGUGUUACCGAGUUUCCUUGAGAUAUCAUCACACUUCCUAUCAAGUCUGUUACCUACAUGGUGCAGUCACCUAAUGACCAGAAAGGUAUGUGUGCCAUUUUCCCCCUUCAACAAUGGCAAGAGUAAAACAAAUGAAAAUGGCUAUAAUG